UCUUUGAGAUCCGUCAUAUUCACAUCUUUCAAUCUUCCCCAAACUCCCGUCGGAAAAGUAGAGCUUCUCUGCUUUGUGGUCAAUGGGUAUGACUGAUAAUGUCACACUGUGAGCCAGUCGGGGCGGACAUAACUGUAACCUUUACGAGCUUUCACAUCCACUUUCAACACGGUCAAGGAACAAGCGUACAGCCCAAAUAUGUGAAACAAGGUGCAGCCGCACGCUUAGUAUUUAUGCCGAGUUUCAAUUUGAAAUGCCGAGGAAAACCUCAGAUCCACACAGUAAGCUCCUCACCCAUGUCUGUGUAACAUACAAUAAGCCACACAGUAAGCCCCUCACCCUUGUCUGUGUAACAUACAGUAAGCCACACAGUAAGCCCCUCACCCAUGUCUGUGUAACAUAAGCAUGGCUGGGAGGCUCAGAGGGAGAGUUGCUCUGUUCAUACAGGUGGAGCUCUCUCCUCCGCCCUGAGGCAGGCAGUAUGAGCGAGCCCCUCGGGGGGGGGGGGGGAGAGGACGAGGCUGACCUGUCCCCGCGAGCGAGCCUCCGGGUACGCUGCGCAGUCCUCGCGUUCGUGGGACCAGGCGUGUCACCUCGUCCCGCCGCGAAACCGACAGAUCGCCCCGGACCGCGCGGUGACAUCAGCCCGAGAGAGCCGCUAAGCCAGAGCCUUAGUCAGCGCCUGACACGGACGUCCUGGUUACGGUUGCCGAGGGAGACGCGAGCUGAAAGUUCCUCCUGGAUAUCGGUGUCACUUCCCGCACAGCCCCCCCCCCCACCACCACCACCACCCCCCGCUCGACCUGACGCGCCAGGGACAGCUCCCCCAUAUCAACCGCAUAAUGGGGCUCGCCGGCUGACCUGCCAACAGGAAGCCUCCGAGGUGCGGGAGAAACGCGCGAACAUCUCGCGGACUUCUAUCCCAGUCCGGCCGAUACGCCACACUGUGACACACAGUAAGGAACAUCCGACUGAAUCUUACAGAGUUGUGAAAAAGCACUCCAUGGUGUGAAGUCAGGCAGGGGUUCAUCACAAGCACACACCCUUUGAGCAUAAUGGCAUACACCUAAGGCCCCCCUUCAUGAGCCUUUUAAAGAGCUCACAACCUUUUUUGGUAUAGAUCCACUACUUUGUAAAGCACUCUCAUAAUUAAAGUUCCUAAUCCGAUUAUAACAUCUUAAUACAUUAGCAACACCAUGCUCAGGACUGUUAUGCAUGUAUUAUUAUUGUUGUUAUAAUGUGUGUGUGAGGCAAUUUUCACCUCUUAAUAUGGAAGAUAAAUAAAAUGCAUUUCAUAUUUUAAGAAAAUAACUUUCACGAGAGAGCCAACGUGUUUGUUUCGCUCU